rnacentral:lncRNA from 1 species
UCGCGGCAGAGGGACUGCGUGGGGCUGAACAGCGUUUUCCAGAGCCGGAAAGGGGAGAGGGCAGCGUCCUCCCAGCCGCAGAGGGCGGACACGGGCGGCGGGGACUCCUUUGUCCAGCGGAGGGAUUUUGGCCGUGCGACGAGGCUUGUGCCCGCUUCGGCAGCUCCCUCGCUUCCUAGGUGGACCUCGGUCCCCGCGGGCCGUGGGCCGGGACUCUGACCCCACCUGGGUCGCCGAGCGGCGUGGUUGUGCUCCUGUGGGACGGAUGAGGAGAUGAAGGCACACGUAAUUUUCAUGAACUUACUGGGUUGUCCAUGAAAAGAGCUAGGAUUGGGCAUGAGGUUCAUCUGAAAUCUAAAGAAGAAGGUACUUAACAAAAUACUGUAAAAAUUAUUUUGAGGUUUGGUUUCUCCAAGGAGCACAUUGCC